GAAAGUAAGCAAGGGCAGACGGUGGAUGCCUUGGCUCUCGGAGGCGACGAAGGACGUGAUAAGCUGCGAAAAGCCCGGGGGAGGCGCAAAUAGCCCUUGAUCCCGGGAUAUCCGAAUGGGGCAACCCGGCAGGCUGAAGGCCUGCCAUCCCGUAAGGGAGGCGAACGUGGGGAACUGAAACAUCUAAGUACCCAUAGGAGGAGAAAAUAAACAAUGAUUCCGUAAGUAGUGGCGAGCGAACACGGAAGAGCCCAAACCCAUGUCGUCUAGGCGACACGGGGGUUGUAGGACCACGACGUGGCAAGAUAGAGUCAAGUGGAACGCCUUGGAAAAGGCGGUCAUAGAGGGUGAAAACCCCGUACACGACUGACGAUUGAAGCCUAGUGGUAUCCUGAGUAGCGCGGGGCACGAGAAAUCUUGCGUGAAACAGCGGGGCCCAUCCCGUAAGGCUAAAUACUCCCGAGAGACCGAUAGCGAACCAGUACCGUGAGGGAAAGGUGAAAAGAACCCCGAGCAGGGGAGUGAAAUAGACCCUGAACCCGUCUGCCUACAAGCGGUCGGAGCAUCGUCAAGAUGUGACGGCGUGCCUUUUGCAUAAUGAACCUACGAGUUACCUUCCCCGGCAAGGUUAAGUACCUAAGGUACGGAGCCGAAGCGAAAGCGAGUCUGAAGAGGGCGGCCAGUCGGGGGGGGUAGACGCGAAACCGAGUGAUCUACCCUUGGCCAGGUUGAAGGUUGGGUAACACCAACUGGAGGACCGGAUGGGUAAGCGUUGAAAAGCUUUCCAAUGAGCUGAGGGUAGGGGUGAAAGGCUAAUCAAACUCGGAGAUAGCUCGUACUCCCCGAAAUGCAUUUAGGUGCAGCCUCUUUAUAGUAUAUCGUGAGGUAGAGCGACUGAUUGGAUGCGAGGGCUUCACCGCCUAUCAAGUCCAGAUAAACUCCGAAUGCGCGAUAUAUAUUUAAAGGGAGUGAGGGCGCGGGUGCUAAGGUCCGUGUCCGAGAGGAGAAGAAUCCAGACCACCGGCUAAGGCCCCCAAAUGAUCGUUGAGUUGAACUAACGAGGUCGGAUCGCAGAGACAGCUAGGAUGUUGGCUUGGAAGCAGCCAUUCAUUUAAAGAGUGCGUAACAGCUCACUAGUCGAGCGAUCUGGCGUGGAUAAUAAUCGGGCAUAAACGAUCUGCCGAAGCCGUGGAUGUCGUAAGACAUGGUAGGGGAGCAUUCCAUGCGGCGUCGAAGAUAAGGGAUGACCCUUGUUGGAGCGCAUGGAAAAGCAAAUGUAGGUAUGAGUAACGAUAAGGGGGGCGAGAAACCCCCCCGCCGAAAGACCAAGGUUUCCUGAUCAACGCUAAUCGGAUCAGGGUGAGUCGGGACCUAAGGCAAAGCCGAACGGCGCCGCCGAUGGAAGAAUGGGUUAAUAUUCCCAUACUGCCUCAUGGAGUGACGUGGAGACGGAGAAGUGACAGUCCUGCCGGCUGACGGAAUAGCCGGUUGAAGGGUGUAGAUAUUGAUUCCCGUAGGCAAAUCCGCGGGGAGAGUCGAACCUGACAGUAUACCGAGUACUUGUACGAGGUAAUAUGGACGUAACCAUGCUCCCAAGAAAAUCCGCUAAACUUAUCCAUGCGGCACCCGUACCGUAAACGGACACACGUGGUCGGGUUGAGAAUACUGAGGCGCUCGAGUGACUCACGGUUAAGGAACUAGGCAAAUUGACCCUGUAACUUCGGGAUAAAGGGUCCUCGUCGUAAGGCGAGGCGCAGAGAAUAGGUCCAGGCAACUGUUUAACAAAAACACAUGGCUGUGCUAAAUGGAAACAUGACGUAUACAGCCUGACACCUGCCCGGUGCUGGAAGGUUAAGAGGAGAUGUCAUCGCAAGAGAAGCGUUGAAUUGAAGCCCCAGUAAACGGCGGCCGUAACUAUAACGGUCCUAAGGUAGCGAAAUUCCUUGUCGGGUAAGUUC
rnacentral:rRNA from 1 species